UGAGAGAUGCAUUCGACAACGAUCGUGGCGUGGGCGAAACACCUUUGCACGUGUUGUACCUGGACGUUGACAAUAUCAUCACACGGCCGCUUUCAAAGUUUUUCG
rnacentral:ribozyme from 1 species